GUGCUCACUUCUGCAGCGCAUUUACUAAAACUGCAAUGAUACAGAGAAAAUUAGCAUGGUCCUUGUGCCACCAGCAUGACAUGCAAAUCUGUGAAGAGUUCCAUAUUAAA
rfam:Tupaia chinensis contig47219, whole genome shotgun sequence.